rnacentral:rRNA from 1 species
UUCGUUCAGUUACGGCGGCUGCUCCUGGGGCAUCAGGUAAUGUGCUGAGGGUUCGAUUAUGGCUCAGAUUGAACGCUGGCAGGAUGCUUUACACAUGCAAGUCGAACGGCGGCACGGACUUCGGUCUGGUGGCGAGUGGCGAACAGGUGAGAAGUAAUGUAUCGGAACGUGCCUAGUAGCUGGGGAUAACUACGCGAAAGCGUAGACUAAUACCGCAUACGCCCUUCAGGGGAAAGCGGGGGACCUUCCGGGCCUCGCACUAUUAAACGGCCGAUAUCGGAUUAGCUAGUUGGUGGGGUGGCGGCUCACCAAGGCGACGAUCCGUAGCUGGUUUUGAGAGGACGACCAGCCCUGGGACUGAGACACAGCCCAGACUCCUACGGGAGGCAACGGUGGGAAUUUUGGACAAUGGGGGAAACCCUGAUCCAGCCAUCCCGCGUGUGCGAUGAAGGCCUUCGGGUUGUAAAGCACUUUUGGCAGGAAAGAAACGGCACGGGAUAAUACCCCGUGCAACUGACGGUACCACCACAGAAUAAGCACCGGCUAACUACGUGCCAGCAGCCGCGGUAAUACGUAGGGUGCAAGCGUUAAUCGGAAUUACUGGGCGUAAAGCGUGCCGCAGGCGGUUCGGAAGAAGAUGUGAAAUCCCAGAGCUUAACUUUGGAACUGCAUUUUUAACUACCGAGCUUAGAGUGUGUCAGAGGGAGGUGGAAUUCCGCGUGUAGCAGUAGAAUGCGUAGAUAACAAGAGGAACACCGAUGGCGAAGCGACCUCUGGGAUAACACUGACGCUCAUGCACGAAAGCAUUAAGGGGAGCAAACAGGAUUAGAUACCCUGGUAGUCCGCCCUAAACGAUGUCAACUAGCUGUUGGGGCCUUCAGGCCUUGGUAGCGCAGCUAACGCGUGAAGUUGACCGCCUGGGGAAGUACGGUCGCAAGAUUAAAACUCAAAGGAAUUGACGGGGACCCGCACAAGCGGUGGAUGAUGUGGAUUAAUUCGAUGCAACGCGAAAAACCUUACCUACCCUUGACAUGUCUGGAAUCCCGAAGAGAUUUGGGAGUGCUCGCAAGAGAACCGGAACACAGGUGCUGCAUGGCUGUCGUCAGCUCGUGUCGUGAGAUGUUGGGUUAAGUCCCGCAACAGGCGCAACCCUUGUCAUUAGUUGCUACGAAAGGGCACUCUAAUGAGACUGCCGGUGAUAAACCGGAGGAAGGUGGGGAUGACGUCAAGUCCUCAUGGCCCUUAUGGGUAGGGCUUCACACGUCAUACAAUGGUCGGGACAGAGGGUCGCCAACCCGCGAGGGGAGCCAAUCCCAGAAGCCCGAUCGUAGUCCGGAUCGCAGUCUGCAACUCGACUGCGUGAAGUCGGAAUCGCUAGUAAUCGCGGAUCAGCAUGUCGCAGUGAAUACGUUCCCGAAGGUCUUGUACACACCGCCCGUCACACCAUGGGAGUGGGUUUUGCAAGUAGUUAGCCUAACCGUAAGGAGGGCGAUUACCACAGUAGGAUUCAUGACUGGGUGAAGUCGUAACAAGGUAA